rnacentral:sRNA from 1 species
AGCCCAGUAACAAGAUGGAUGGGGCAGAGAAGGAGCCAACACAGUCAUUUUGGUUUGGAAUUACAGGCUAAUAGAUUCAUUCAUUUCCUGAAGCUGCUGUUGGAUCUCUCUUCCCCUCCCCCAAGGAGGGGACUGGCUGUGGGGGCUGGAUGCCCAGGGAGUGGGCAGUCCCAGGGAAAAUGAGAGUCUAAGCCAGGAGACCUUCGCAGACUUGAGGGGUCCUUCCCUGGGGCCUGAAGGGGGCAGAGUGCACGCAGGCCAGGGCCUGGACUGAUAGUGCCAGGAUGAUGGGUCAUUUGUUCUGGGCAGACCUUUUCUGCCUUCUCAUUAGCCUCAAAGGAGCUGCCAGGAAGCAGCUGUCAUUCAGCUCAGAGGCCCAGGGUCUGCCUGUACUGCACACAGCCCUUUCCCUCAUCUCCCUGGUCCAGAGCAGGACAGGCAGCUCCUUGAGCAUCACUAGUCCUGGGACCCACCCCAGCAGCUGGAGGAGCAGCUGAGCCGCCUUCAGCGUGAGAAGAAUGAGAUCCAGAACCGGCUGGAGGAAGAUCAGGAAGACAUGAAUGAAUUGAUGAAGAAGCACAAGGCUGCCGUGGCUCAGGCUUCCCGGGACCUGGCUCAGAUAAAUGAUCUCCAAGCUCAGCUAGAAGAAGCCAACAAAGAGAAGCAGGAGCUGCAGGAGAAGCUACAAGCCCUCCAGAGCCAGGUGGAGUUCCUGGAGCAGUCCAUGGUGGACAAGUCCCUGGUGAGCAGGCAGGAAGCUAAGAUACGGGAGCUGGAGACACGCCUGGAGUUUGAAAGGACGCAAGUGAAACGGCUGGAGAGCCUGGCUAGCCGUCUCAAGGAAAACAUGGAGAAGCUGACUGAGGAGCGGGAUCAGCGCAUUGCAGCCGAGAACCGGGAGAAGGAACAGAACAAGCGGCUACAGAGGCAGCUCCGGGACACCAAGGAGGAGAUGGGCGAGCUUGCCAGGAAGGAGGCCGAGGCGAGCCGCAAGAAGCACGAACUGGAGAUGGAUCUAGAAAGCCUGGAGGCUGCUAACCAGAGCCUGCAGGCUGACCUAAAGCUGGCAUUCAAGCGCAUCGGGGACCUGCAGGCUGCCAUCGAGGAUGAGAUGGAGAGUGAUGAAAAUGAGGACCUCAUCAACAGUGAGGGAGACUCUGAUGUGGACUCGGAGCUGGAGGACCGUGUUGACGGGGUCAAGUCCUGGUUGUCAAAAAACAGGGGACCUUCCAAGGCAGCUUCUGAUGAUGGCAGCUUAAAGAGUUCCAGCCCCACCAGCUACUGGAAGUCCCUUGCCCCUGAUCGGUCAGAUGAUGAGCACGACCCUCUCGACAACACCUCCAGACCCCGAUACUCCCACAGCUAUCUGAGUGACAGCGACACAGAGGCCAAGCUGACGGAGACUAACGCAUAGCCCAGGGGAGUGGUUGGCAGCCCUCUCACCCCAGGGCCUGUGGCUGCCUGGGCGCCUCUCCCAGGAAGUGGUGGGGCACCAGUCUCCCCCACCCGACUGCUGAUCUGCAUGGGAAACACCCUGACCUUCUGUCAGGGGGACUUUCCAGGCUAUGGGUGUCUGAUGUCUCCACGUGGAAGAGGUGGGGGAAAGAGGAGUUUCUGAAGAGAACUUUUUGCUCCUCUGUCUCAAAAUGCCAGACUCUUGGCUUCUACCCUGGGUCACCGUGGGCAGUGGCAGGUGGCCUGGCACUGCAUGGAGCCAGCACGUUGACCUCCCUCUCAGCUCCCUGCUCAGGAACGGUGGACAGGUUGCCUACUGGGACACUCUAGGUUGCGGGUCCAUGGGGAGGAUUGGGGGAGGAGAAGCAGUGCCUUCCCUCUCGUGUGGGGUGGGGGCUCUCUCUUCUUGGUGCCUGCUGUCUUUCUACUUUUUAAUUUAAAUACCCAACCUCUCCAUCACAGCUGCAUCCCUGAGAGUGGGAGGGGGCUGCAGUGGUAGCUGGGGCUCCCAAGAACGACUCAGGAAUGUCAUCUCCAUCUUCACCCUUCAGAGAGCAGUCCUUUCUCUGUGCAGCUGGAGACGCUGGUGAGGAGAGCCGGGUCCAGGUUCUUAAGAAUGAGGUGCGGAGGGGCUCUCCAGUGCUGCUGGGCUGGGUUGAGCAAGCCUACGCAGACAAGUGUGUGUGUGGACCAUCCGCACCUCCAGCCCCCACCCCACCCUCUUUGUCUCAGCGUGUUAUGUGCAAUGACCUAUUUAAGAUAAACCCAUUCCAACUACAGCAGUUCAGGGCUGAUCCAAGCACUGCCUCCCUCCUGCUCUGUCCAGGUGGUCUGGACCAUAAACUCAACUUGAGAGGGAAGGCUUGGGGUUGAGGACUUGUGAUCAGAAAAACUGAAGAUGGAAGUUUUGGCCAGUGCUCAUUAGACAUGAGUCCUCACUCUGUGUCCUGAGCCCGUGUCAUUCUUCUUCCAACCUCCCUGCCCCCACACACUUAUCCCAGACACAACACCAUGUGGUCUGGAGGUCCCAGCCCCCACCCUAAAAAGGUUAUCCCUGAGAACUCCACCAGACUUGGGAGCCCAAGUGCAGUGCCUGGUGCUGCUCCCAUCUGCCGCCCCCCUUCUCUCCUGCAAUUGGUUUGUACUCACUGGGCUGUGCUCUCCCCUGUUUACCCGAUGUAUGGAAAUAAAGGCCCUUUUCCUCCUGGCUG